rnacentral:rRNA from 1 species
UACGGGGGGAGCAAGCGUUGUUCGGAUUUACUGGGCGUAAAGGGCGCGUAGGCGGCCACUGCAAGUCGAUUGUGAAAUCUCCGGGCUUAACCCGGAAAGGUCAACCGAUACUGCAGGGCUAGAGUGCGGAAGGGGCAACUGGAAUUCUCGGUGUAGCGGUGAAAUGCGUAGAUAUCGAGAGGAACACCGGUGGCGAAGGCGGUUCUCUGGGCCUGACCUGACGCUGAGGAGCGAAAGCGUGGGGAGCGAACAGG